rnacentral:lncRNA from 1 species
ACAGAUUUUGCUUCUUCAUGUUGAUGGCUUGAACUCGAUCCAACUUCGUGCACUCCUUUGGGAUUAGGAAUUGGUUGACUUGGAAAUUUUCCUUUUUCUCUCUCAGCUACAGUAGUUGCUAAUUGACCCAAUUGAUGUUCAAGCUUUAGAAUAGCUUGAGUGUUUGACUGAAAAGCUUGUUGGGUUGACUGAAUGAAACUUUGAAGUGUAUCCUCUAAAGAAGGCUUUCUUUGUUGGGGUGCAACAAAUUGAGACAUAGGUUGUUGGGCAGGAGGAUGUACUUGGUUAGGAGGGACAAAUUGUUGAUUGGGCAUGUUCAACUGUUGUCCUCCUUGGUUUGACAAAGGUUGAUUUUGUUUCCAAGAAAAAUUUGGGUGAUUCCUCCAAUUAGGAUUAUAU